UACAGAGGGUGCAAGCGUUGCUCGGAAUUAUUGGGCGUAAAGGGUAGGUAGGUGGUCUCAUUUGUCGGGGGUGAAAGCCUUGGGCUUAACCCAAGAAGUGCCUUCGAAACGGUGAGACUGGAGUCCUGGAGAGGGUCGUGGAAUUCCUGGUGUAGCGGUGAAAUGCGCAGAUAUCAGGAGGAACACCGGUGGCGAAGGCGGGUCUCUGGGCCGAUACUGACGCUGAGGAGCGAAAGCCAGGGGAGCGAACGGG
rnacentral:rRNA from 1 species